CCAGAAAGAAGAAGAAUAGGAAGAAGAAGAAUAUAAACAAAAAAAAUACUUGGGAGUCGCGGUUUUUACUUUGCCGUGUCUGUCUUUAGCAUACAUCACUGCACAUGUUGACAUGCAAAGAAACCGACUGACUGAUCCAUCUGCUGGAGUCGAAUGAGAGAACUCCUUUGGAUUUCGUGACCACAAUUUUCAGACAGUAUGGAGCAUGGCGACGAGGGAGGUCUGAGCGUCGGGGGCUCGGUGGGAGAAGACAACUACUUUCAGGGGUACACCUUCACCGAUCGCUCUCACUCCAGUCGGUUGGUGAAGAGCAUCAUGGACUUGUGUCUAGAAGACGGGCUAUUCGCAGAUGU